rnacentral:rRNA from 1 species
UACGUAGGGAGCAAGCGUUGUUCGGAUUUACUGGGCGUAAAGGGCGCGUAGGCGGCGCGGUAAGUCACUUGUGAAAUCUCUGAGCUUAACUCAGAACGGCCAAGUGAUACUGCAGUGCUAGAGUGCAGAAAGGGCAAUCGGAAUUCUUGGUGUAGCGGUGAAAUGCGUAGAUAGUCAAGAGGAACACCUGAGGCGAAGGCGGGUUGCUAGGCUGACACUGACGCUGAGUGCGCGAAAGCUAGGGUAGCAAACGGG